ensembl:lncRNA
CCUCCUCCUCCUAAUCGGCGCUCGCUGAGCCGCACGGUGCUUCGCCUGCAGAAAGCAGGGGUACGUUGAGUUUACGCCGUUGUUUGCCGCGGACCACACGAGUCCUGAAAUGACAACCGAAAAAAAAUUAAAUAAAAACUCCAGCCUGGUGGGGUCCAUGUGUCACUUUUAAGUUAAGCGGAGGGUGGUGGUCGGGGGGGUCGGCGGAGGGAGGACUUUGAGUGUUCUUUCCAGCAGCACAUAAUGUAUCAUCAAAGCCAGGAUUAGACGUUUUUUUGAUUUCUUCCUACGGAGGAGCAGCCUCUCGGGCCGCUUGGAGGAUUUAAGCUUAUUAGCCCUAAAGAGCAGAGGAAGGGAGUUUUUCAGCUGAUGUACGGCCAACUUCAAAGACGCUUUAAUCCGCCGGUACACACAUCACGUAUUUAUACAGGGGGGGCCGUGCUUCUUCCAGACGACUUCCUCGCGCCCCUUAUUUUCUUUCUGUUGCUCGUGUUUGUCGGUCUAGACGAGCUGAGGCGGCUCUUCCUGCUGGAGGCUCGACGCUUUUGAGUCGUUUUGGAAGAUGCGCUGGAAUCUUUGCAGCAGGUUUCAAAAAUCAAAACAUACUGAAAACCUCUUUCUCUACGCUUGCUCUUUUUUCAUCAGCUCCCAAAGACGAGGGACGUUUUUUCACUUCCCGUUGAUGUUGGCCAUGAUUGAUAGGCAGAAUUAUGGAUUAGAAAAUGCACUUUAAAGUCAAUCCCCAUUAAUGCACAGCGCUGAUUUAUCAGUGCUUAGCAAGAGGCUUUUAAUGAUCACUUUCAUGAUAGAUUACGAAGGUUUAGUCUGGAUGAGCGGGAGGAUUGAUGGGGUUUCAGGAGUUGACUUCAGGGUUUAUUUGCUUUACAAAAUACCGUAGGUAUAAUUGAACUAAAAUUACCAUGAGAAUUUGUGUUUAGAGUUUGCCCUGAGUUAAGGACAGACUCUUCUUGUACUUUGGAGGUAAUAAUCUUGCCGUCACCUUAACCGCGCUAAUCAUGUGGUAGUUGCCACUGGUGGUGUAGAGGACCCCGAUUUCUAGUCUCUGAUAUCUGAUCAUGUGACACUGUAAACAACCAAUAAGUGUCUAGAUCCACAGGAGUAAGGCUCGUAACGUUAGCAGCUAACCGCUAAUGGCUAACAAACGGCGGUGCCAGGGCUCUCAAGCGUCAUUGAGCGUGACAGUCACUCUAGUCGGCCACCUCCUCCCCGGUCGCCGGUAUCGUCGACCCCCGACAAAAUGUCACUCCAAGGUUUCUUGAAGAGUUGAGAGCCCUGGAGGUUCACUUUAGUUACAUGCAAAGGUAAAACAUGUGUAUUUUUGAUUGUUUUGCUGACAUCACAGCAUUUAAAAUGUUUUUCAGGGACGGUGACAAAAUAAUAAACAGCCUUGUAGACUAGCCACUAUAAUCAAGCAACAAAUGGAAUCAUCAACUGCAAUGUUUUCAAUAAGUUUCAUUUCACUACGCUAACACCCAAAGCUAAUACCAACAGCUAAUACCUGUCUGAAAUCAGCUUGGCUGGCUGUGGAUUUUCAUACUCCUCAUGUGAAGAAUCCCAAUGCUUUUGGGGACUCCCUCCUAUUUGCUCCGUGCAUACAUUACACAAAUAUUGCGUACGGCAUAAUCAUGGUCCUGGGCUUUUAAUCAAUUUUGGCCAUUCCGUUAGCUUUGCUCUAGUGCCAGAUUCAGACUAAAAUGUUGACCUGGCCCAGAACAUAUCUGAUAUCAAAUUGGUAGAUAUAUAUUAUUCAUGUUUCCAUGGGGAUAAACCUUUCUGAUCCUAAUGACCUACAUUCAGUACGUGAAUAAUGCCCCCAAGGCUGCUGAGUUGAAAGCAUCCCAGAAUUGAUGACCGUCAAAAGCAAGAGCGCCCGACAGGUCGAUCGCCAACGCAGUCCCGGUAGAUAGAGUGCCUGCCAUUGCAAAAGAAAGCGUGUCAUGUCACGCAUGCGUAGUCGACCGCAGGAGCUAACGGAAAACUAAUGCUAAUGAGCGAUCCUUGCUCACUAACGGGCACAGGGAAAUUUACAUAUUAUUUAGGGGGCAAUUUGUGUCUCCACUGACUGAAAACCAGAGACAUUUCUUAAGAAAUUGGGGGCAUUUUUUUAAAUUUGUGAAAUAACAUAAUAUAAUAUACUUAAUUGAGCUUAGUGUAGACGCAUGGCAGCUAUUAGACUAUUGGGCAGUAGUCUACACAUUCAAAGUCUUUCAUGUUUUUAUAACCAAAACAAACAGGAAACAUAAAUCAGACUCAUUCAAUUUUAGUUUUAUUUCUUUGUAGUUUCUUGUGUUAAGCAGUAUGUGAAGCAAGUGUCGACGACGUGACCAUUCUGCUGUCUUUGCAUCCGAUUCACAGCUUCCACAGUUGGCUCUCUGGUUAUUGAGCUAAUAUCUCCAUGCUUCUGUAAAAACAAAGAACAACACAUUUAAACCUUGACACAACUGCAGUCUCAACUAAUUAUAUUUUACCCAAAUAAGGGACUGGCUGUUAACUACAAGAUGGCAGUAACAAAUGACUGCACUUUAGCUAACGUUAGUUAAAUAGACAAUCAGAGCUAGCCAACAUUAGCUGAUUAACGUUAAAUCAUUUCAAAAUAAUGAAUACUUAGUUAUCUUAGUUUGGUGAGAAUCAAAAACAUUCUGUGACAAUUGGCGACGACGUUUGACAAGUUAAUGUUUACGAAAAUUGCAUUAUUGUCAGAGGAAAUUAUUGGGGCAUUUGUCGCCCCUCUCCUC